GAGGGAGUAAUAAUUUAUGGAUUUGUUGGGAAUGUGUAUUUCCGAUUCGAGAUAUUAAUUUUUUAUGUUAUUUUUUAGUUUUUUUUUCAGUAUUUUUAUUAAUAUUGUUUUCUAUGUUUUAUUUUAUUUUUGUCAUAAUCUACGUGUUUUCCAACUUUUUCUUUAAGCUUUUCCUUCAACAUUUUUUGGGGGCUUUUCCAGCGUUUUCAAGCUCCCUUUUUUUUUAUUUCUCCAGUUUUCCUUUCUAGUGUUUUAGUAUUUUUUUUUUAUAUUUCUUUUGUUUUAUGAUAUUUCGUCAUAAUUUAUUACUUUCACUCAUAUCAAAUACUACUUUUACGCAUAUCAAAUAUUACUUAACGAAAAUAUGACUUCUUCUAAUAACAAUUACUCCCUCUGUUUACAAAAUGAAUACCCAUAUUUUCUUUUUAGUCCGUCUACAAAAUGAGUACUCAUUUCCCUUUUUGGCAAGUGUACCCCCACAUAACAAUUUA
rnacentral:lncRNA from 1 species